ACCCCCUGGCAAUGGACAAAGACACAUUUUUGGUGGUGUUUUUCUUAUAAAAGGGGCUGAGCAGAUGGCAGCUCUUUGUUCAUCCUAGCUUGAUGCCUGGCUUAGUGGCCAAAACUGUUUUAUGCCUAGGACAAAUCA